GAGCCAUGCUGAUAGAUUGCUGGCUCUGCAUUUUUGUGGCUGCUGAAGGCGCGGCGGCAGCAGUGAACCCUGCGUUUUCAGUAGUGGCUUUGAGCCACAGAAGGCAAGGUUAGCCACUCAUGUGUCCCUGCUGAAACACCUGGGGACUUGUCACCCACUCGGAACCAUGAAAAAAGAUGUAAGCACGCACCGCACCACAUAAGCACAGUCACGACGUACAGGUCACUCUUUCUCUCUGCUUCCCUGCCGAGAGCGGAAACCACACUCCUGGGGGUCUCCAAAGGAGCAAAGAACUACUCGCCAAAACUCUCCGCCUGCCCCUUUCCUGCUCCCAGAAUUUACCCUUUCAAGCGCUUUGACUAAGGCUGGUGCGCAACACAGCGCUCCUUACCCACUGACCGGCCAAACGCUGACAUCUCUGGCAUGCAGAGCUGACGCUGCUGUGGCUGCAGCUGCUCCACAGACCCGCACCUCUGGCCUGCCACUCUGCCCGCUCACCAGCUGGCAAGGCUGCACAGAAUGCGGAAUGUGUGCCGGGAUGGGAAAAGUGCUGCGGGUGAAGGACCGGACCUGCUGCCGAUUGGUUAUUGCCCGGAAGUAGGUGGGGCCAUAACCGGAACUCCCUCCCACCUACCUACAUAGGGAGGCGCCAUUUUGUUGGAGCCUGCGUUCCACUCUGAGGAGCCGCCAUUUCAUGCCACUCCGUACGCCACGUGGUUUUCUACUGCUUAGGGCUUGGCUCCCUGGCUUUUUCUUUAGCUCCUUCAUAUUCCCAGGCCUCCCUCUGACUGCGUGCCCAAUUCCCUUGCUCCGGGAAGUGCUCACAUGACAAAACAGAUCCAUUCCUGCGCAGUCGCACCGGGCAAAGGCGUCCCGGUGCUGGCGCUGGGGGCUGCCUCGUGUCUGACACGGGGGUUUCUGGAGACCAGCAGUACUACGGGCGCUUUGGUCCCAGCUAACAGCUCCGCCGGCUCCACUUCUCGGUUGGCAACAGCAACUCACUCGCGCCUCCCGCAUAAGGAUCUGAUGGGAAAUGCCUCGCCCUUUAAGUGCGCCGCCUCUUGCUUGUGGAAAGGCACAGACAACCCAAGGGCAGUCCCCGCCAGAGGGCUCCACUCAUCUCCAUCGUAGCGUUUGAUACAGCCGUGGAAAAAGCACUCAUCACAUUCAGGAGCUCUCGGCAUGCCAUCAGUGAUGGCAGAGCACUGCAAGAACAAGGGUCUCUUUGAUAUUCAACACCUUGUCAUGCGGAAGCACGUCUCUUGGGCCCAAAUACUCAGCUCGGCACUGCUCUACUUGAGGAAACGACUGACAAAGGGCAUAAAGCAGGCUCUUCUGCUGCACCCCUCUGUCACUCCUCCCAUCACAAGUGGUCUCAUCACAAAGAGAACCAGCUGUGCAGCAGACUUCAGGGCCUGCAAAGGGCCCCCUACAAAACGCUCCCGCGGCUGUGUUCCCCGCUCCCUGAACAGGCCAGCAGCGUGACUUACACUUUGACACGGCCUGUGCAAUUCCUUCUUUUGGGAAAGCACGCCACCCUUCUUCUAGCACACGCAAAGAAAACUCUGCUCUCUCAUUCCGGCUUCCACGCCGUGGUUUCUGGCAACUCCAGAAUUACCCAGCAUCAGCACUGGCCAAACAAAAACAACCGGAGCUCACCAUUCCUAAAGGGACUCGUCUCACUCACAACAAGCAUCUGUUCCAAGCAGUGGUGGUUGUCCCGGCACAUGACUUUGGUACGGCUAGAAGAAGACCAUACUCCGUACCGUUUCACGUCAUGCACAGCAAGGAAAGAGGGCCUAAGGAAGAAGGAGCUGUUCACCUCGGGAGUGAUGGCUUUGUCUUCCCAGCAAGCUGUUACGCGUGCUAAACCCUGCUCCCCAGAAAGCAGACGAGCGUCUAUCUGCCUGCCCAGGGGGAGCAGCAAAAGAAUUCCUGGCUUUGCUUUGCUUACGCCUGCAGCUUUUGCUUUACCUCUCGGAACACCUUUAUCUCACCCUCUGGAUUCUCACACCGUUGCC
rnacentral:misc_RNA from 1 species